rnacentral:lncRNA from 1 species
CCUUCCAUAUAUCACACUGGCUCUGUGUCAAAAUCUCCUCCCUGGGAAGAAAACAGGUGCACCUGACCAUGUUUCAAGUUUUACUACAAGUCUCAGAUCAGGUCACCUGAUACGGAUGUCAAGUGUGUUGUAAAACCAAAUGGGACCCUCUGAAAUGUGAAAUCAUUAGCAAAUCCGCUAACUUUUUUAAAAAUUCUGUUUCCUAUGCUCCCUUCAGAAGUCAGUUAUCAGAGGGAAAUUAUCAAGAGUUGAAAGGAAAAGACAGUAUCCCUCUGGCACCCUGAUCUAUGUCUUGCUUUGGUGGUUGGGAAAGAGGGACUGGCAUAAUGAGAACAAACACAAUCUAUGUCACCAGGAGUAUUAGUGUGAAAAGGAGAUCGGAGCCAGCUAUUCAGGGAUAUUUAACUAACAUUUUCCAGGGAGCUCGAGUCUUUUCAGAGAUUCAGUUGCUAAGUAGUUGUGUAUAGAUUUAUUUCAUAUCACACUGGCUUUUAUAAUCUCAUGUGUCCAAGUUGAACAGUAAAACGUCUUUAAAAAUCAAGCACUCUAUAAAAGGGAUCUUUUGUGGGGAAGUUUUUGCUUAAUUAUUGAUCAUUGAAUAUUUCAUCUUCAGCAUUUAAAAGGAAUCCUAGAGUUAUUGAAGUCUGACCUUCUGUUUGUAGGUCAGUUGCCUGAGAACCCAAGAGGUUUUCUGAAAAAUAGUUAUUUCACUUUUGGAAAUCAGAUAGGAGGCUAUAAACAAAGCCUGCCUCUGGCCUUGCACUCUUUGAAUUCAGCUAGAACUUAACACAGCAACAGUUACUUCUUCACUUCCUGCACAAAACAAGAACCAUAUUUCUAUCGUCAUUUAGAUUACAGGUUUCAAACAUAUCCAUAAAAUGCUAGAUGUUACAACAGGUGCUAGAUUAUAAAAAUGAGCAGGUCUUUUAAAAGCUGACUUCCAAUAGAGGUUUAGGCAACUUAUAAAGAAUUAGGCUAGUGCUAGAGACAAAUUUAAAUGUCAUGUGAUGGUGCAAAGCAUAUAUUUACUAUUUACUCUCCCUGUUACAGUGUCCAUUGGCUCUUUACAGAGUUUGUGGUGUAUUACAUUUUUUCUUUUCUUUUUUCUUUUUUUUCCUUUUUUUUUUUUUUUUUUUUGAGACAGGUCUCAUUCUGUCAUCCAGGCUGGAGUACAGUGGCACGAGCUCACCUCACUGCCACCUCUGUCUCCCGGGUCCAAGUGAUUCUCAUGCCUCAGCCUCCUGAGUAGCUGGGAUUACUUACAGACAUGCACCACCAUGCCUGGCUAAUUUUUUUAAUUUUUAGUAGAGACAGGGUUUCGCCAUGUUGGCCAACUUGGUCUUGAACUCCUGGGCUCAAGCCAUCCACCCAUGUCGGCCUCCCAAUAUUCUGGGAUUACAGGCAUGAGCCACUGCACUUUGCCCAGAUUACCUUUUGGACAUUAUUAUUAUUAUUAUUAUUAUUUUUAGUUUUCACUAUUUGAAUUCUUAGUGUAGUUUGGUUUGCUUUUUUUUUUUUUUUUUUUAACCUUAAUCCUAAUACCUCCACUUAGGUCUCAGAUUCCAUCCUAGGAAAGCAGCUCCCAGAUCAUUUAGCUUAUAUAGUCCUUUAGACUUUCAAAUUCUUCAGGAUGAAAUACAUACAAGAUCAGCCAAUCAACUGUCACUUUGCUUCUACUUUGCUUCACCCCACAACUGCAUAUUGACUUCUACUAAUGGCAUAACUUCCUGUGUGUCAUGAUCCUUAAGUCUUUCUUCCUUUGCUCAGUUUUUCUAAAGAUCACACCCUCCCACUCCCAUUUCAUGAAAGAAGGACAGGAAAGAAGAAGGUGGGAGAAGAAGGGAAGCAUGCCCUGCUCCCUGCAGGGAUGGAUGGCUUGCUGCUUUCUUGUUUCUUUCCCCCCAUGCCAGCUACUUGUUUGUUUUCCCUCUGACACCCUUUCACUCUCAUUUUUUUUUCUUCUAUUUCAUACUUCUGAGAGGUAACCAUUGUUACAGUGAUUGUUCAUGAUUAGAAGCUAGUGAUCAGUAACCAAAAUCCAGCACAUUCUCUUUUUGGGCCUCAUAUGUGUCAAACACGUUAAUAGCACUGGAGACGCAGCAAUGAAUGGAAAAAAAAUUCCUGCCAUUACCAAGCUUUCAUUCCAUGAGGAGAUAAAAAAUGUACCUACUGGAUUGAUAAGUAAUUGUAUUCAUCUGUUCUCAUACUCCUAUAAAGAACUAUCUGAGACCUGGUAAUUUAUAAAGAAAAGAGGUUUAAUUAACUCACAGUUCCACACACUCAACAGGAAGCAUAACUGUGAGGCCUCAGGAAACUUACAGUCAUGGCAGAAGGUGAAGGAAAGCAAGCACCUUCUUUACAUGAUGAGAAAGAGAUAGAGAGAGAGAGAUAGAGGAGAGAGAAGGGGGAAGCACUAUACACUUUCAAAUAACCACAUCUCUUGAUACAUCACUAUUAUAAUAACAGCAAAGGGGACAUCUGAUGCCAUGGUCCAAUCACCUCCCACCAGGCUCCUUCAACAUGAGAUCACAAUUCGACAUGACAUUUGGGAGGGGACACAGAGCUAAACCAUAUCAGUAAUAUAACAAAUUAUGAUUAAUGAUUUAGAGAAAAAAAAGUCAUGCAACUUGUUUAUUGAAUAGCAGAUAUGAUUUUGUCUCUCUCUGUGUCUGUGUGUAUUGGGGGAGAAUUUAGGAGCUAUGUUGCAACAGAUAAUCAGAGAAGCAAUCAUUAUACAGUGGCAUUUCAGUAGAGACCAUAUGGAGAUGAGAAAAUAACCUUUGGUGACAUUUGGGAAAGAAUAUUCAAGCAGAGAAUUAUAUGAGUGGAAGGCACUGAUAUGGAAGAUACACUUUGUUAGCAACUGGA